rnacentral:rRNA from 1 species
CAACGAGCGCAACCCUUGUCUCUAGUUGCUACGCAAGAGCACUCUAGAGAGACUGCCGGUGACAAACCGGAGGAAGGUGGGGAUGACGUCAAGUCCUCAUGGCCCUUAUGGGUAGGGCUUCACACGUCAUACAAUGGUGCGUACAGAGGGUUGCCAACCCGCGAGGGGGAGCUAAUCCCAGAAAACGCAUCGUAGUCCGGAUCGUAGUCUGCAACUCGACUACGUGAAGCUGGAAUCGCUAGUAAUCGCGGAUCAGCAUGCCGCGGUGAAUACGUUCCCGGGU